GGGGCGGUAGCUCAGUUGGUAGAGCAGGAAAACCCCUCGGCAUUCCUUGCCUGUAGGGCCGACGCUCGAGGGUUACCACUUCUAAUGGCCUGGUCGCCGGUUCGAAUCCGGCCCGCUCCA
rnacentral:tRNA from 1 species